rnacentral:rRNA from 1 species
GGAUGAACGCUGGCGGCGUGCUUAACACAUGCAAGUCGAACGAAGCAUUUGCGACAGAUUUUUUCGGAAUGAAGUUGCUUAUGACUGAGUGGCGGACGGGUGAGUAACGCGUGGGUAACCUGCCUUGUACUGGGGGAUAGCAGCUGGAAACGGCUGGUAAUACCGCAUAAGCGCACAAUGUUGCAUGACAUGGUGUGAAAAACUCCGGUGGUAUAAGAUGGACCCGCGUCUGAUUAGCUAGUUGGUGAGAUAACAGCCCACCAAGGCGACGAUCAGUAGCCGACCUGAGAGGGUGACCGGCCACAUUGGGACUGAGACACGGCCCAGACUCCUACGGGAGGCAGCAGUGGGGAAUAUUGCACAAUGGAGGAAACUCUGAUGCAGCGACGCCGCGUGAGUGAAGAAGUAAUUCGUUAUGUAAAGCUCUAUCAGCAGGGAAGAUAGUGACGGUACCUGACUAAGAAGCUCCGGCUAAAUACGUG